GAUUAUGGCUCAGGAUUAACGCUGGCGGCGUGCCUAAUACAUGCAAGUCGAAUGGUUAGCUUGCUAACCAUGGCGAACGGGUGAGUAACACGUAGGCAACCUGUCUAAGAGACGAGGAUAACCAUUGGAAACGAUGGAUAAUACUGGAUAGGAUAUGAUAAGGCAUCUUAUUAUAUUUAAAGAUUUAUCACUGUUAGAGGGGCCUGCGGCGCAUUAGCUAGUUGGUGAGGUAGGGGCCCACCAAGGCGAUGAUGCGUAGCCGGACUGAGAGGUUGAACGGCCACAAUGGGACUGAGAACGGCCCAUACUCCUACGGGAGGCAGCAGUAGGGAAUUUUCGGCAAUGGACGAAAAAGUCUGACCGAGCAACGCCGCGUGAACGAAGAAGUAUUUCGGUAUGUAAAGUUCUUUUGUUUGGGAAGAAAAUAAAUUGACGGUACCAAACGAAUAAGCUCCGGCUAACUACGUGCCAGCCGCAGC
rnacentral:rRNA from 1 species